rnacentral:rRNA from 1 species
GAUGAACGCUGGCGGUAUGCUUAACACAUGCAAGUCGAACGGUGUCUUCGGACAUAGUGGCGGACGGGUGAGUAACGCGUGAGAAUCUAGCUUCAGGUCGGGGACAACCACGGGAAACUGUGGCUAAUACCGGAUAUGCCGAGAGGUGAAAGGCUUGCUGCCUGAAGAUGAGCUCGCGUCUGAUUAGCUAGUAGGUGUGGUAAAAGCGCACCUAGGCGACGAUCAGUAGCUGGUCUGAGAGGAUGAUCAGCCACACUGGGACUGAGACACGGCCCAGACUCCUACGGGAGGCAGCAGUGGGGAAUUUUCCGCAAUGGGCGAAAGCCUGACGGAGCAAUACCGCGUGAGGGAGGAAGGCUCUUGGGUUGUAAACCUCUUUUCUCAGGGAAGAAAAAAAUGACGGUACCUGAGGAAUAAGCAUCGGCUAACUCCGUGCCAGCAGCCGCGGUAAUACGGAGGAUGCAAGCGUUAUCCGGAAUGAUUGGGCGUAAAGGGUCUGC